AUGGAAGAGUCCUCGCAGAAGGUGAUCCCAACUUCAUUCAACGUUCGUUCGUGCUUACCGUUCUUCGUCUCUCUCACCAGUUGUGAAAGUAUGAAUUGGGUUCAGCGAAAGAUCCACCUUUACAAUGUUACAUUUGGGCUUUAUAUGCUGGAUUGGUGGGAGCGCUGUACUUUUAAUAUUUUGGUGAUUGUACUAAUGUGUUUUGUAGUGCGGUACAUUACUCAGUUUGUCAAGAGGUAUGUCUUUUUGUUGUAA